AUUGAACGCUGGCGGCAGGCCUAACACAUGCAAGUCGGACGGUAGCACAGGGGAGCUUGCUCCUCGGGUGACGAGUGGCGGACGGGUGAGUAAUGUCUGGGGAUCUGCCCGAUAGAGGGGGAUAACCACUGGAAACGGUGGCUAAUACCGCAUAAUGUCGCAAGACCAAAGAGGGGGACCUUCGGGCCUCUCACUAUCGGAUGAACCCAGAUGGGAUUAGCUAGUAGGCGGGGUAACGGCCCACCUAGGCGACGAUCCCUAGCUGGUCUGAGAGGAUGACCAGCCACACUGGAACGGAGACACGGUCCAGACGCCUACGGGAGGCAGCAGUGGGGAAUAUUGCACAAUGGGCGCAAGCCUGAUGCAGCCAUGCCGCGUGUAUGAAGAAGGCCUUCGGGUUGUAAAGUACUUGCAGCGGGGAGGAAGGUGCUGAGGUUAAUAAGCUCAGCAAUUGACGUUACCCGCAGAAGAAGCACCGGCUAACUCCGUGCCAGCAGCCGCCGUAA
rnacentral:rRNA from 1 species